rnacentral:rRNA from 1 species
GACAUGCAAGUCGAACGGUAACAGGUCUUGGGAUGCUGACGAGUGGCGAACGGGUGAGUAAUACAUCGGAACGUGCCCGAUCGUGGGGGAUAACGGAGCGAAAGCUUUGCUAAUACCGCAUACGAUCUACGGAUGAAAGCAGGGGACCGCAAGGCCUUGCGCGGACGGAGCGGCCGAUGGCAGAUUAGGUAGUUGGUGGGAUAAAAGCUUACCAAGCCGACGAUCUGUAGCUGGUCUGAGAGGACGACCAGCCACACUGGGACUGAGACACGGCCCAGACUCCUACGGGAGGCAGCAGUGGGGAAUUUUGGACAAUGGGCGAAAGCCUGAUCCAGCCAUGCCGCGUGCAGGAUGAAGGCCUUCGGGUUGUAAACUGCUUUUGUACGGAACGAAAA